GCCGGGGUGGCGGAACUGGUAGACGCGAUGGACUUAAAAUCCAUUAGAACGUAAAGCGCUCUGUGUCGGUUCGAUUCCGAUCCCCGGCA
rnacentral:tRNA from 1 species